CUUUUUGACCGCUGUAUCUUUAAAGGCUAGAAUAGUUCCUGGCACGGAAAGGGACUUAGCAAAUGUUUUUGACCAUCUGAGUGUUUACUGGGCACUGACCUGUGAGUGGUGGUUCAUGGGCAAAUGAGUGGAAACGUUAUUAUCCCUUGUCCAGAGGAAACUGGGCAGUACCAGAAGCACCACCUGUGGCACCCGGAGCUGCUCAGAGGAAGGUCUGAAAAUCACAAACCUCAGACUAACCCCUUCAUUUGAGAAACUGGGGCCCAGAGGGCUGAAGUGACUUUUGCAGUGUCAUGAAAUUGUCAACCAAAGGACUGAAUCCCAGCGCACUGUGCUUUCAGCUGUUUUACCCUAUAUUCCUGAAGGAUGAGUUCUAUAGAAUAGAUUAGCUCCUAUCAGUGGGUAGCCCUCUAGGGAGAGAACUGUCAGAGGGUUUUGUUCACGCCUUGUUUCAAAUGCUGCUGCUCCUUCAGGACUGUGGACAUGGAGACCUGCUUCCUAAGACUUCCCUCCCCACUUGGCAAUCAUCUUGAAUUUGUAUUAGAAGUAAGGAAAUGGGACUGCUUUCUCCAAAUAUUUAUAAUGACUUUAUUGCUCUGAAUUGCCACACAUCAGAGAGAACUUUUAACCAUUAGGGGUCUUGACUUCCUAUUUGUGAAAAGUGGAGUGACUCUGAUCAAGAAGGCUCAACUCCUUUUGGUUGGAGAUCACAGGAAUGGCAUCAUGUCAUGAUGGCCAUAGGGGAGCUACACCAGCUGUACUGUCCCCAGUGGAAAGAGCCAGGACCCAGGACAGGCAGUGACAGCUUCCCAGAGAGCUGACACCCCUUCACUGGGCUGGAUGAGCAGGAGAGACAGAGACACCUGGCCCUCCCGGAACAGAGUGAAGCUGACAAGCACUAGAGAGUGAUCACGAGCAGACAGACCCUGGAGGAGGGUUGAAACUUGGAAGAAGGGACAACGCUGGACUUGUAUUUAUGAAAAAUGCCACCUGAAGUGCUUCAAGCUGAAGUGAAAUUACACCAAAAAGAAACAGAGAUCUUUAGGAAGAAACGAAAAGCAACCAGAAAUGAAGUUCCUGGGCCAGGAAUCAAACCCAUACCAACUCAACAACCCAAGCUACUAUAAUGACAACACUGGAUCCUUAAAUUGCUGAGUCACAGGAGAACUCCCCAUAAGUUUGUUUUCUAAGUGUGUGAAUCUGUUUCUGUCUUGUAACUAGUUUCAUUUGUAUCAUUUUUAAAGAGUUCACAUAUAAGUGAUAUCAUGUGGUAUCUGUCUUCCUCUGACUUACUUCACUUAGUGUGAUAAUCUCUAGGUGGGACUUGUAUUGUUGAACAGAUAGGAAUGUGCCAGAAAGAGCAGGUGCCCAAGACCGAUGUACCCGUGCUCACAGGAAGCAGUAGCCCAUCACACUGUGGAUCCCUCCACAGUUUCAUUUGUGCUCUCCCACACAGGAAGUUAAACAUUUAAACAUCUCCAUCAAUCCUUCCAGUCGUAUGUAUAAGCGCGAAUCAAGAAUGUUUAAGAUCUGUUUCACAAGGUCUUUAGGAUCCUGAUAAUCCUCCCAACAUCCUCGAUCAUGCUCUAAUCAGCCUUAACAAUACUUCUUUAUGUUUUUAUAUCAUGACUAUUGGAAAAGCUCUUUUAAUUUUGUGUGACUGGGUCCAGUUUGCUCACUUCUUCCCUAGGGAGCCUCUAAUAGGGGAUAUAUUACAGUAGGUCUGAUUUGUCUUUUCCCUAGGAGACUGGUGUCCACAAUCUCCCAAAUUCACAGCCUACUCUGAGACACACAGAUUUCUAGAUUUUAAUUUGCUUGAGUCAUAUCGAUAUUGAUAUUUAAUGUUAACCUGAGGUAAGCAUGAUAGAUAUGCUUGACUUAAAGAGCUGGGAGCACAGAAGAGAGUUUAAAUGAUUUAUCCAGGUCAUCUAGUGAACCCUCAAACUUAGAGCUAAGGCCAGGAUUCCUGUCGCUUUGACCUCUGAUUCAGAGUACUUUCUACCACUCAUUGUGACUCCAGCCCAUAUGGUCGAACCAAGUUCGGGUAGAUCCUGUGGUUCAUAUGUUUAUUGUUCAUUAUACUUAAAAGAAAAGGCCCCCUUUUUUUUUUUUAAAUCAUGUUUUCUUUCGACUUGCUCAAAAGCCUGGUGUGUGCAUGAUAUAUAUGCUCUCUUUGCAUUCAGUGUGUGGUUUCCUCCUCAUCUUUGAGUAGUUUCCUUUCCCCUACAUUUAUGGGUCUAAAUGAGGGAUCUGAACAUGAGCUCAGUCAGAGGUAGAAACACAGAGCUGUGAGUUCACACAAUAGAAUAUAACCCAGGAGGUCAUCAGUUCCUUAGGGGUGUGAGCAGAGUAGGAGUGGGCUUCGCUUGGCCAGUGUCCAAAGGGGUCCCAGGAAAAUGGGCAGAUAGUAUCAGUAAAGCAGAGAGCAGAUGACAUGCCAUGGGGACUGAGCCACAAGUUAGGGAAUAGCUGCCAAUGCCUCAGGAACCAAACAAGAUGUACUCCAUUGCCAAGGAGGCUGCACUUAGUGGUGGGAAGUCUCAUGUCCAUGGAACCUGAGCACAAUGAGAGGGUCCUUGUGUUUGGAAGGAUGAGAUUAGAUGCAAAAGCAAGAAAGACUCAAGCUCCAGUGGGGAGAAUUUGGGAUAGGACUCUAUGUCACUAAGUAACAAUUGAAGGCCAAUUGAGCUGUGUGGCUCAGCUGUGUUGACAGAGGGACAAGGCCAAUACUGAUGCAGGCGUGUAGGUAGAUAACUCACCAUGGCCGCAGAUUUACUAGUAAAAGAGGGUCAUGGCUCCGUGCCAUUUUCAAGUAUACUGUCAAAAAGUGUAUGAAGUUCAGAGUGACUGCCAUACCCAUAGCCCUCUUUGAAAAAGGUGACGCUCUGACUUCAGACUAUACCACAAAGCUACAGUCAUCAAAACAGUAUGACAACUGGGACAAAAACAGAAAUGCAGAUCAAGUUGUAUAGAGAACCCAAAAAUAAACCCACACACUUAUGGCCAAUUAAUCUACAACAAAGAAAGCAAGAAUAUACAAUGGAGAAAAGACAGUCUCUGCAAUAAGUGGGGCUGGGCAAACUGUACAGCUACAUGUAGAAGAAUAAAAUUAGAACAAUCUCUAACAACAUAUACAAAAAUAAACUCAAAAUGGAUUAAAGACCUAAAUGUAAGACUGGAUACUAUAUAACUCUCAGAGGAAAAAUAGGCAGAACACCCUUUGACAUAAAUUGAAACAAUUAUUUUUUUGGAUCCCUCUCCUAAAGGAAAUAAAAGCAAAAAUAAACAAAUGGGACCUAGUUAAUCUUAAAACCUUUUGUAUAGCAAAGGAAACCACUGACAAAAUGAAGACAACUCAUCAAAUGGGAGAAAAUAUUUGUAAGUUAUAAGAUCAAUAAGGGAUUAAUAUCCAACAUAUUUAAGCAGAUCAUAUGACUCAAUAUCAAAAAAACAAAACAACCUCAUUAAAAAUGGGCAGAGAAACCAAAUACACAUUUUUCCAGAAAGGAAAUGCAGGUGGCUAACUGGCACAUGAAAAGAUGCUCAAGAUUGCUAGUCAUCAGGGAAAUGCAAACCAAAACUGCAAUGCGGUAUCACUUCACACCUAUCAGAAUGGAAAUGAGUCAUUCAGAGAAAGACAAAUAUUGUGUGAUAUCCCUUAUAUGUGAAAUCUAAAAAACACAGCAAAGGAGUGAAUACAACAUAAAAGAAGCAGACUCAGAUAUAGAGAACAAACUAGUGGUUAUCAGUGGGGAGGAGAGGAAAGUGCAUCAUAGGGGUGGGGGAGUGGGAGGCACAAGCUAUUGGGUAUAAGGUAGGUUCAACACAAGGAAUAUGGCCAAUAUUUUGUAAUAACUGUUAAUGGAAAGUAACUUUUAAAAACUGUAUAAAAAUAAUUUUUUAAAAGUAAUGAAACAAUGGUAUAAAGCUGCUUUAUUAUGCUAAAUCAUUGUUAUCUGGCCACCUGUAACAGGUGAGCACCUGUUUCAAAAGCCACAGAUUGGGAACCAGGCAUAAUAACACUGCCAGGUACGAGUGCUCCCAUUCAAUGGUGACUACUACAUUCAGAUCUCCUAUUUCCUGGAGUUUGAGAGAACUGUAUACAUGUGGAGAAGGAAGCAGUUUAUGGGGAUUGAUGUGCAAGAUCUAGGGAUCAAACAACAACGGCUGACAUUUAUUUGAAGAUUUGUUACCUGCCUGGUGCUGUUAGUGCUUCUAAUGGACUAACCCACUGUAACCCUCAGAACUCCACAAUAAUGAGAUUGUCCCCAUUUUCAGAGGUGGACAAGAGGCACCAGGUGUUUAAAAAUUAUCGAAGGACACAAAAUCAGUACAUGGAAGAGGCAGGCCAUGAAGCCAGAUCUCCAGUGCUGCAUUUUUUUUGUUUUAGCUGCCCCCUUGGCAUACAGAGUUCCCUGGCCAGGUAUCAGAUCCAAGCCACAGUUGUGACCUUGGUAAUGCCAGAUCCUUAACCCACUGUGCCAGGCCAGGGAUAGAACCUGGGUCCAGGUGCUCCAGAGAUGCUACCAACCCCAUUGUGCCACAGCUGGACUCCCAGUGCUGCAUUUUUAUCCACUCCAAGGUACUGCUAACUGGCAUGAGAUAGAAGCAAGGAGGCAGGAGAAACCACAAAACAGAGAGACAGAGUAGAGAUUAGUUUGAUGUUAACAGCAGAGGUAGGAGAAGCAGAGGCAGGAAGUCACCACCUGGUGGGGGCACGAUGAAAACCUACAACUGCACCUGAACCCACUGCGAGGAUGGCAUCAUGUCCUAAAGGCCCUUCCAGUUAGGUCCUUGGCCAUGCUUUCCAUCCCUUCAGGCACUGGAGUGUGUCGGGGGUCUGGGAGGAAGACUUUGAUCUCGCUCUCUAAAUGCUCAGGAUUCAAUUCUAAAAUGUGACCAACUGUCCAAAUUACAUGAAACCAGCUACACAUACAGCAGACACACGUCAUUUGGUUUUUCCUCACUGGCAGCAGGAAACAAUGUGUUUUCCAUGAAGAUGAAAAAUAAACCACAGGAAAGUCAGGAGCAUCUUUUUCAAAUGCCCUUGACUUUGAUACCUUCAGAUAGUGAUGUGUUUAGUUUCCUGAACAAUUUGGGUGGAUCUGCACAGCCUGAGCUGGAGAGUAUGGGCAUCUGGCCAUCAAACCAAACGUUGAGCAACGGGUUUGCCUGGCUGAGACUUUAUCUCUAGAAUAGAAGGAGGAGGAACUUAUUUAAAGAAUCUCUAUGCAGUCUUGCCCUGCAGGGUUAACUGGAACUCCUUCACUACCCAAGACCCUUUUAGUUAUAUAAGUUUACACCCAUCUUUUUUCCUUAUGAGAAGCAUGAAUGAAGUGGAGCAACUUGAAUACAGAUAUUUCAGAAAGAAAAGAAUCUCACUUCUUAAUAUGAAUAGGCCCAUUGUCACAGCACAUCUUUUCUCCGCAUUAGAACACAGCAGUUGGAGUUCCCAUCGUGGCGCAGUGGUUAACAAAUCCGACUAGGAACCAUGAGGUUGCAGGUUCGGUCCCUGGCCUUGCUCAGUGGGUUAAGGAUCCGGCGUUGCCGUGAGCUGUGGUAUAGGUUGCAGAUGCGGCUUGGAUCCUGCGUUGCUGUGGCUCUGGCGUAGGCCGGCGGCUACAGCUCCGAUUCGACCCCUAGCCUGGGAACCUCUAUAUGCCGCGGGAGCGGCCCAAGAAAUGGCAAAAAAGACCAAAAAAAAAAAAAAAAGAACACUGCAGUAAUCAUUGCAAGAGUCAAGUUUUGCUGAUGAAUCCUAAAAUCACUGGGUGAAAGUUUGAGGAGAAACAAGAAUAUCUUUCCACCAAUGCAUUUAUUAAUUUCAAAGUGAAAAAUGUAUUUUAUGGAGAAAAUCAGACAUCAGCUUACUCAAGUGGCCAAGGUUAAUAGCAGAAGUAAUAAGAUACUAGUUCUUUUCAUGAUGUCGUACUGAAAAGUGCACACUUCCAUCCCUAUUCCUGACAAAAACACAUGACCUCAAUCUAAUUAUGAGAAAAUAUUGGGUAGGACACAAUUGAGGGGCAUUCAACAAAAUAAUACUCUUCAAAAGUGCCAUGAUCAUGAAAAAUAAUGAAAAAUUAAGCAGCUUUCAGAGAUUUGACAAGACUAAGGAGACAUGAUGACUAAGGCUAUGUGGUAUCCUUAGAUUGGGUUCUUGAACAGAAAAAGGAUAUUCAUAAAAACACAGGUGAAAGUCAAAUAAACUCUGUGGGUUAGUUAAUAGCCCCUAAUGUCCAAUGUUAAUUUCUUGACUUGGAACAUUGUACAAUAGUUACACCAAAUGUUAUCAUUGAGUGAAGCUGGCUGAAGGGUGUAUGAGAACUCUGUACUGUUUACGAAACUUCUCUAUAAUUAUGAAAUUAUUUCAAAAUAAAAAGUUUAGCAGCUUUCUCAAGUGGAGAAAAUAAUAUAUUUCUCUAUGAAAUGGUUCAUUCCCAUCAUCUGCUAAAUAGUUUAUAAUGAUUUAAUUAUGUCACAUUGCUAUCUCUACAUGGUAUAUUUCUGGGUCCUUCAUUCUGUUUGGCCUACUUUUCAUCUGUAAAGUCUGCUUUUCAUCUAUAAAUGUCAUAAUUUGGAGGAAAUUAUUUUACCUUUUUAAAAAAAUAAACACAGCUUUGCCU
rnacentral:lncRNA from 1 species